CAUACGACUCUCGGCAACGGAUAUCUCGGCUCUCGCAUCGAUGAAGAACGUAGCGAAAUGCGAUACCUGGUGUGAAUUGCAGAAUCCCGCGAACCAUCGAGUCUUUGAACGCAAGUUGCGCCCGAGGCCACCCGGCUGAGGGCACGCCUGCCUGGGCGUCACGC
rnacentral:rRNA from 2 species